CAUGCCUUAAGGAGCAUUAGAAUCACCUGCCGGGAUUAGUAAACACAGAUCAUGGGGCCUCAACCCGUUGUUUCUGAUUCCCAGUAGGUCUGGGGUGGGGCCAAAGAAUGUACAUUUGUUCCAAGCUCCCAGGUGAUGCCUAUGCUGCUGGCCCAGAGCCCACAUUUUGAGAACCACUGGCCUGGGUGAUUCAAGUUACCAGCAAAAAAGGAGGAGGAUUCCAGCAGAUGAGAAGAGACUGCCUGGCCGCCUCCCUCCCGUGCCCUGGUUAGAUGAAUGGGCUGCGUCAGAGGAGCCAAAACGCCAUCUUGGUUCCAGCCACCUGGAUUUUCGACAUGGUCUUAGAAUUCUCAUACUCUACAGAGCACGAACAAACUUUGAUGACAGGAUUCUUUCUUCUCUUUCCGCAUACGAAAACCCAAUUCAGAUGAGCAGUGCGCGCCGUAACCGUUCACAGCCUCAUGGUGCUCCAGCAGAGGCCCAACAAUAGCCUCUUCUUUUCCAUUGGACGACGUCUUGAGUUCCAGAAUGCUGCACUGAGCACAAUGCAGAGCUCCUGGGAGACAUUAAGUGUUCACUUGGUGACUCACUGUGGGCAGAAGAGGACACAAGAUGGAGAAAAGCUCGCCCUCUCCCACAAUUUACGGAGCAGGGAAAAGCCCUGUGAACAAGCAGCAGAAGCAGCCGCUUCCCAGUCUUCCGUGUCUGUGAGAACAAAUAAGCCCAAGCCGUUCGCUGCCCUGCCUCCCCCAUCGCAGCCCCGCUCCUCUCCCAUUCCCUUAUUAAGGAAACAAUGAAGCGAACACGCCAGGAUAUUCUGGGGUGGACAGUGAUCUCUAGCAGUAAAUUACUUCCUCACUUAGUGACUUUUAUGGGUCAGGGAAACCAUAUGGCCCAGGCAGCAGGCUCCAGGUCAACUCCAGCAGAUUCGAUGCUCAUAUAUCUCACCCUGGUCGUAUUCAAAGACUACAGGGUGCCCAGUUCUAAAGCUUUUCAUCAGCCCUACUCCCCAAAUGCAUGCAAUUCACUCUCAGUGACCAAGGACCUUCCUUCCCUGCUCUGUUGUCCCCAUUUCUCAGCCUGUUGACUCUCAUGCUUGGUCUACUGUAUCUGGUUCUCCCCCUGCCAGCAUCGUUCCGGGACAGCCUAUUGGGAGGAACAUUCUUUUGGGAUUUCAUACCCUGACU
rnacentral:lncRNA from 1 species